GUUAAUGAGGCGAACCGGGGGAACUGAAACAUCUAAGUACCCCGAGGAAAAGAAAUCAACCGAGAUUCCCCCAGUAGCGGCGAGCGAACGGGGAGCAGCCCAGAGCCUGAAUCAGUAUGUGUGUUAGUGGAAGCGUCUGGAAAGGCGCGCGAUACAGGGUGACAGCCCCGUACACAAAAAUGCACAUGCUGUGAGCUCGAUGAGUAGGGCGGGACACGUGGUAUCCUGUCUGAAUAUGGGGGGACCAUCCUCCAAGGCUAAAUACUCCUGACUGACCGAUAGUGAACCAGUACCGUGAGGGAAAGGCGAAAAGAACCCCGGCGAGGGGAGUGAAAAAGAACCUGAAACCGUGUACGUACAAGCAGUGGGAGCACGCUUAGGCGUGUGACUGCGUACCUUUUGUAUAAUGGGUCAGCGACUUAUAUUCUGUAGCAAGGUUAACCGAAUAGGGGAGCCGAAGGGAAACCGAGUCUUAACUGGGCGUUAAGUUGCAGGGUAUAGACCCGAAACCCGGUGAUCUAGCCAUGGGCAGGUUGAAGGUUGGGUAACACUAACUGGAGGACCGAACCGACUAAUGUUGAAAAAUUAGCGGAUGACUUGUGGCUGGGGGUGAAAGGCCAAUCAAACCGGGAGAUAGCUGGUUCUCCCCGAAAGCUAUUUAGGUAGCGCCUCGUGAAUUCAUCUCCGGGGGUAGAGCACUGUUUCGGCAAGGGGGUCAUCCCGACUUACCAACCCGAUGCAAACUGCGAAUACCGGAGAAUGUUAUCACGGGAGACACACGGCGGGUGCUAACGUCCGUCGUGAAGAGGGAAACAACCCAGACCGCCAGCUAAGGUCCCAAAGUCAUGGUUAAGUGGGAAACGAUGUGGGAAGGCCCAGACAGCCAGGAUGUUGGCUUAGAAGCAGCCAUCAUUUAAAGAAAGCGUAAUAGCUCACUGGUCGAGUCGGCCUGCGCGGAAGAUGUAACGGGGCUAAACCAUGCACCGAAGCUGCGGCAGCGACGCUGAUGCGUUGUUGGGUAGGGGAGCGUUC
rnacentral:rRNA from 1 species